AUACAGAGGUGGCAAGCGUUGUUCGGAUUUACUGGGCGUAAAGGGUGUGUAGGUGGUUUGAUAAGUUGGAUGUGAAAGACCUCAGCUCAACUGGGGAAUUGCAUUCAAAACUGUCUAACUAGAGGAAUUGGGAAGUGAGCGGAAUUCUAGGUGUAGCGGUGAAAUGCGUAGAUAUCUAGAAGAACACCAGUGGCGUAGGCGGCUCGCUAUCAUUCUCCUGACACUGAGGCACGAAAGCGUGGGGAGCAAACGGGAUUAGAAACCCCGGUAGUCC
rnacentral:rRNA from 1 species